rnacentral:rRNA from 1 species
UCACAAACGACUCUCGGCAACGGAUAUCUCGGCUCACGCAUCGAUGAAGAACGUAGCAAAAUGCGAUACUUGGUGUGAAUUGCAGAAUCCCGUGAACCAUCGAGUUUUUGAACGCAAGUUGCGCCCGAAGCCUUUUGGCCGAGGGCACGUCUGCCUGGGCGUCACG